UUUAGACCUGGGACACCAGGUGUGUGCAAUUAAUGAUCAGGUAGAACAGAAAACCAGCAGGCUCCGGAACAGAAAACCAGGUAGAACAGAAAACCAGCAGGCUCCGGAACAGAAAACCAGGUAGAACAGAAAACCAGCAGGCUCCGGAACAGAAAACCAGGUAGAACAGAAAACCAGCAGGCUCCGGAACAGAAAACCAGGUAGAACAGAAAACCAGCAGGCUCCGGAACAGAAAACCAGGUAGAACAGAAAACCAGCAGGCUCCGGAACAGAAAACCAGGUAGAACAGAAAACCAGCAGGCUCCGGAACAGAAAACCAGGUAGAACAGAAAACCAGCAGGCUCCGGAACAGAAAACCAGGUAGAACAGAAAACCAGCAGGCUCCGGACCUCGUAGGGUAACAACAGAAAACCAGCAGGCUCCGGACCUCGUAGGGUAAGAGUUGAAUACUCCUAAUUUAGUAUAUAGUAACAGACUUGUUCAGUCCAGAUACUUCACACAGCCUUUCUUAGUUCAGGAUGUGUGCAGGAGUGCAGGGAAUCACAUAGGCCUAUCAUUUCCCAAUGC